rnacentral:tRNA from 1 species
GGGCCGCUAGCUCAGCUGGUAGAGCAGGUCCCUCUUAAGGACAAGGUCCAGAGUUCGAUCCUCUGGCGGCCCA